rnacentral:lncRNA from 1 species
AAUAAUCUCCACCCCCUGCCGAGGCUUCAACAUUAUAUCUAUCCCUCCUUGCUCUAGCGGGCAGCAAGAAGCACAGCACCGCCAGUUACCACGCAGACAUCCUGGGGAACUGAGGUGCCAGGGAUUGAACUUGGAUCACCAGGCUUGGAGGCAAGCACCUUUGACAUACUAAGCCACUGCCGUCCAUAAGAACAUUACACAAAGACCUGGAAUCUUCAAAGCCAAGCUGUGUAUGAUACACAGAAGUGGGAAAGAGGCAAAUCAUUUAUUUGUUACUAGGUACUUUUUCUUGUGGGAAGAAAGUUUUUUGUUAAUUCACUCAACAUUUAUUGAGAGAUGCAAGCCAUCAAAGAAAUGGCCCCUCCAGAAACUAGACACUACAGACCAAGGGUGAACGCCUAGCCUGGAUCACC